AAAAAUGUAAUUAUAAGUAUUGAAUGCUUCUUUUUGUAACUUCAUAGGGUUGUAAAAGCGUUGACCGUGCGCACAUUUUUAGAAUGAUGCGCGGAAGGGCUUCAUACAAAAUGUCCUUCGGUCAACUCUUUUACACCCCAAUGAAGUUACAAAAAGAAGCAUUCAAUUCUUAAAAUAUAGGGCCGGUUAUACAGGUCUGAUUCAUUUUCAUAAUCAUUAUACAUAUAAUGCAUCGUGUAUAUUUCUGUCAAAAUUAACUUCCUUCUGAAUAGUUUUAAUAAAAAAAGGAAAAAAUAAUUCUAAGGAAGUCCACUUUCUCCCUAUAAUUUAUAAAAAAAAUAUUUCCAGGUUUUUUAAAGUCAUUU
rnacentral:lncRNA from 1 species